rnacentral:rRNA from 1 species
AAUGAACGCUGGCGGCAUGCCUAACACAUGCAAGUCGAACGAAGCCUUCGGGUUUAGUGGCGCACGGGUGCGUAACGCGUGGGAAUCUGCCCCUUGGUUCGGAAUAACAGUUGGAAACGACUGCUAAUACCGGAUGAUGACGUAAGUCCAAAGAUUUAUCGCCGAGGGAUGAGCCCGCGUAGGAUUAGGUAGUUGGUGUGGUAAAGGCGCACCAAGCCGACGAUCCUUAGCUGGUCUGAGAGGAUGAUCAGCCACACUGGGACUGAGACACGGCCCAGACUCCUACGGGAGGCAGCAGUGGGGAAUAUUGGACAAUGGGCGAAAGCCUGAUCCAGCAAUGCCGCGUGAGUGAUGAAGGCCUUAGGGUUGUAAAGCUCUUUUACCCGGGAUGAUAAUGACAGUACCGGGAGAAUAAGCUCCGGCUAACUCCGUG